rnacentral:tRNA from 1 species
GCAUAAGUGGUUCAGUGGUAGAAUGCUCCUUCUGCAGCUACUCUAUAGCUUCGGGUUCGAUUCCCGGCUGAUACA